GAGUGUUAGCAGUAAUGCACGCUUAGGAAAAAUGAUGAAAUUUAAAGGUUUUGAAUUUUAGAUUGUAUUACUCUUGCUGUUAAUUUAAAAAAAAUGAUAAAAAUUAAGUAAAACAGAGUCUCGUAGCUCAGCUGGUUAGAGUACUACACUGAUAAUGUAGGGGUCGGCAGUUCGAGUCUGCCCGGGACUACUUUUUAAGAAUUGACAAUUAAUACUUGUUAAUUGAUAAUUAAAAAGACUGAAAAGCUUAAAAAGAAGGAAAUUCUAGAGUUGAAAGAUUACGAAUUACAAAUAAUUCCUAAUUCAUAAUUCACAAUUCAUAAUUAGAUUGGGGGAUUAGCUCAGCUGGCUAGAGCGCCUGCCUUGCACGCAGGAGGUCAACGGUUCGACUCCGUUAUUCUCCACGAUUUUAGUCAUAAAGAUUAAAGUCAUAAAGUCCAAAGUGAUUCACUUGACGACUUUUGACUUUUGACUAGAUAAAGUUCAUUGACAUAUUGAGAUAAGAAAAUAAUAAGAAAGUAGAAAGCGUUUUUUACAAUUUUAUUGUAAAAAACAAAAAAAACGGUCUUGUUUUAAGUAACAAGAUUGGUACAAUAAGCAAAAUAAGGGCGUAUGGGGGGAUGCCUAGA
rnacentral:misc_RNA from 1 species